GGCAAAGAAGUUCGGCAUGGUUCCCAUUGGGACAAAAGGGAAUGCACCGGGGACGACCCAAUCCGGGGUCUGAUGGUGCAGCCGCCCCCGCGACUGUAAGCGGAGAGCGCCCGCCAGCGCCACUGGCCCUAAGGGUCGGGAAGGCGGCGGCGCGCUUCGACCCGCAAAGCCAGGAGACCUGCCAUGCGCACAUGCAACCCA
rnacentral:ncRNA from 1 species